UUACCUUCCUGCUCCAGCCUGGAAGUUUCCACCUGGUCAGUCUCGAAGAUUACAGGACCACUGUGAAGGAGCACAUUCUUCCUGGCAAGAGCAAUCUGUGCCCCCUUGUCAGCAGCUCUGCCAGAUCC